rnacentral:sRNA from 1 species
CUGCAUGCCGCCAAUGC